UACGGAGGGGGCAAGCGUUAUUCGGAAUUAUUGGGCGUAAAGGGCGCGUAGGCGGCCAGGCAAGUGGAAGGUGAAAUCCCUCGGCUUAACCGAGGAACUGCCCUCCAAACUGCUUGGCUUGAGACCGGGAGAGGUGAGUGGAAUUCCCAGUGUAGCGGUGAAAUGCGUAGAUAUUGGGAGGAACACCAGUGGCGAAGGCGGCUCACUGGACCGGUACUGACGCUGAUGCGCGAAAGCGUGGGGAGCAAACGGG
rnacentral:rRNA from 1 species